GGGGAAGUAAAAGAGGUGCCAGAGAUCUGCUCAGCAUAAAGUCCAAAGGGGCAAAUAAGAGGACUAUUUUGACCUUGAGGUAGAGCUCCAACUAUAGCUUCAGAUGAAAAAUGAUUCCCAAAUCCUGUUUGGUACUCCAAAUCAGAAGGAAAAUUGGAAGUUCUGCUGCUGCACUCCAUUUCUUUGACACCUCUGCUAUUUUAUGAACAUUUUUAUGUCUAAAAAAGAAAGAGUUGAGAAGAAGAAACCGAAACAGUGCUGUCGUG
rnacentral:misc_RNA from 1 species